ACUGUGGACUAAUAUACAGGACACCGUGUUUUGCAGGCUCCCUCAGGGAUAACCUGUGCAGUCUGCAGGUCGACCUACAACGCGCACGAUCGUCGUCCGCUUAUCUUCUCCAGCUGCGGCCACACCUUCUGCGAGGAAUGCCUUAGGACGGAGAACCGCAAGAGUGUGUUCCGGUGCCCUUCUUGCCGGCAGGACCGCGACCAGUUCUGGACGCUGAAGCCUAACUUCGCGCUGCUCGACCUGCUCGAAGCGAGGAGAGUCCAGGAGACCAGGGACGACGAAGACGACGAAGACGACCUCAAGAAGGGUCUCCGCAUGGACGACGACGACCUGCUCUCCCUCGCCCUCCACAUGUCCGCACAGGAGGCCGAGAACAAGGAGUACAGGCGUCAGGUCGCCGCCUUACUCGCGCGAGAGCCCGCUGGGGCCGGCGACGUCCCCGGAGCGGAGGGCGGCUGGCAGGAGGAGGCAGAGGGGCGUCCGGGGAAGGAGGAAGCUUACUGCCAUGAGGAACUUGAAGGUCAUAGUAGGAAAAAGCUCCGCCUUGAGAAGGAGAAGGC